GACGAACGCUGGCGGCGUGCCUAAUACAUGCAAGUCGAACGCAGUUGGGACGGGUGAGUAACACGUGGGUAACCUCCCAUCAGAGGGGAUAACACUUGGAAACAGGUGCUAAACCGAUACUGAUGGAUGGACCCGCGGUACAUUAGCUAGUUGGUGGGGUAACGGCUCACCUAGGCCACGAUGCAUAGCCAACAAGAGGAGGUAAUCGACCACACUGAGACUGAUACACGGCCCAGACUCCUACGGGAGGCAGCGGUAGGGCAUCUUCAGCAAUGGACGAAAGUCUGACCGGGCAACGCCGCGUGAGUGAAGAAGGUUUUCGGAUCGAAAAACUCUGUUGUUAGAGGAGCGGUAUCUAACCAGAGAGCCACGGCUAACUACGUAACAGCAGCCGCAAUAAUAC
rnacentral:rRNA from 1 species